UACGUAGGGGGCGAGCGUUGUCCGGAAUUACUGGGCGUAAAGGGCGCGUAGGCGGCCCGUUAAGUCCGCUGUGAAAGACCGAGGCUCAACCUCGGGGUGUCAGCGGAGACUGUCGGGCUGGAGUCUCGGAGAGGGAUGCGGAAUUCCUGGCGUAGCGGUGGAAUGCGUAGAGAUCAGGAGGAACACCGAUGGCGAAGGCAGCAUCCUGGCCGAGUACUGACGCUGAGGCGCGAAAGCGUGGGGAGCGAACGGG
rnacentral:rRNA from 1 species